rnacentral:lncRNA from 1 species
AAACCCCUCAGGUAUUGGUAAAAGCUCCAUGGAAUUCAGCUAACUUGGUUGCGGUUUGCAGUCCAACAGAACUUUGAGAGGUUUUGAUUAGCGUCAGAAGAUGCAGUGGCUCCCCAGUGACCAGAAUCAAUGGGCUGUGAAACUCAGCAGCAUGAGCAAAGGCUUGAUUGAUUAUGACCACAGGAGAAAGGAAGCAUAUUUCAUUUUUUGUCAAGAUGACAUGGAUAAAGCAAGAACCUUUUUUGGAAUCACAAAGAAAAAUAGGGAGCGUGGCUAUCAAAAAGAUAACGAAAAAGAUGAGACCUUUGACAAUCUACGUCUAUGGAAUCCCCAAAACCCACCGAAAACGGGAGAGAAGAGCCCUAAAAUCAUUAAUUUCUUGGAAAUCCUUUACGCAAUUUAAAACAGGAAUCCAACACAACCAAAAAGAUCAGAUCUUUAUCGACCUAAGACCAUGAAAAUCCCAAAAUCCUCCAAAAACGGGAGGAAAACACCGAAUC